GGAUAUGGAAACUUGUACUCUACUGGAUAUGGAACAAGAACGGCAGCUUUGAGCACAGCAUUGUUCAAUGAUGGGGCUUCAUGUGGGCAAUGCUACAAGAUCAUAUGUGAUUACCAAUCCGAUUCACAGUGGUGCAAGAAAGGAGCUUCUGUGACCAUCACUGCAACAAACUUUUGCCCUCCAAACUAUGCUCUUCCAAGCAACAAUGGAGGGUGGUGCAACCCACCCCUGCAGCAUUUCGAUAUGGCUCAGCCAGCAUGGGAAAAGAUCGGUAUUUACAGAGGCGGGAUCGUCCCAGUGCUGUUCCAAAGGUCCCAAUACCUACUUUUUCUUCUAUUAUUAUUAUUAUUAUUUUUCCUACCUUAUAUUGAUGUUGAACAAUGUUUCAGGGUUCCAUGUAAGAAGCAUGGUGGUGUUAGAUUCAGUGUUAAUGGAAGAGACUACUUCGAAUUAGUAUUGAUAAGCAAUGUAGCUGGGGCUGGAUCUAUUCAAUCAGUAUCAAUCAAAGGCUCCCGGACCAGUUGGAUGGCCAUGUCCAGGAACUGGGGAGCUAACUGGCAGUCUAAUGCCUAUCUCAAUGGCCAGUCUCUGUCCUUCAAGGUCACCACCACUGAUGGAGUGACCCAAGAAUUCGACAAUGUUGUGCCUUCAGAUUGGGGGUUUGGUCAGACCUUCUCUAGCUCAGUACAGUUUUAAGCCAAGAAAGCUGCUUUGGGGUUCAGGGUUUCGGGUUUUCAUUGGCAGAGGCGUGCUUACUAUUUUAAUGAAGCAGCCCGCCCUAAAUUAUGAGAAGGAAUUCUCAAAUGGUUGGCAAUGGAGAUGGGGGCUAACCCAUGAACUCAAGGCUACUAUCAACUCCUUGUGCCCAUUUCUUCCACAGGGCCUGAAAACCAAAUUAUGGUGUCAUUGUGUGUUGAAAAUUUUCGGGAUCUUACUGAAAAUCAUGCACAUCAGAAAUAAGAAGCACAUGCAGUUAAAUUGCAGCUUCAAAUAUAUGAAUAGUUCUUUUUUUCUUCAUUUUACAUAU
rnacentral:lncRNA from 1 species